CCCUUAGAUGUUCUGGGCCGCACGCGCGCUACACUGAUGCAUUCAACGAGCCUAUCCUUGACCGACAGGUCCGGGUAAUCUUUGAAUCUGCAUCGUGACGGGGAUAGAUUAUUGCAAUUAUUAAUCUUCAACGAGGAAUGCCUAGUAGGCGCAAGUCAUCAGCUUGCGUCGAUUACGUCCCUGCCUUUUGUACACACCGCCCGUCGCUCCUACCGAUUGGGUGUGCUGGUGAAAUGUUCGGAUCGGCCGUUUGUCGCGGUUUCCGCGUCAUGUGGCUGAGAAGUUCAUUAAACCCUCCCACCGAGAGGAAGGAGAAGUCGUAACA
rnacentral:rRNA from 1 species